GUCAAUACUUUGUAGAGCCACCUUUUGCGGCAAUCACAGCUCCAAGUCGCUUUGGAUAAGUCUCUAUGAGCUUGCCACAUCUUACCACUGGGAUUUUUGCCCAUUCCUCCUUGCAAAACUGCUCCAGCUCCUUCAAGUUGGAUGGUUUGCGCUUGUGAACAGCAAUCUUUAAGUCUGACCACAUAUUUUCUAUUGGAUUGAGGUCUGGGCUUUGACUAGGCCAUUCCAACACAUUUACAUGUUUCCCCUUAAACCACUCAAGUGUUGCUUUAGCAGUGUGUUUGGGGUCAUUGUCCUGCUGGAAGGUGAACCUCCGUCCUAGCCUCAAAUCAUGCACAGAGUGGUACAGGUUUUGCUCAAGAAUAUCCCUGUAUUUAGCACCAUCCAUCUUUCCCUCAACUCUGACCAGUUUCCCAGUCCCGGCUGCUGAAAAACAUCCCCACAGCAUGAUGCUGCCACCACCAUGUUUCACUGUGGGGAUGGUGUUCUUUGGGUGAUGUGAUGUGUUGAGUUUGCGCCAGACAUAGCGUUUUCUUUGAUGGCCGAAAAGUUCAAUUUUAGUCUCAUCAGACCAGAGCACCUUCCUCCAUACAUUUUGGGAGUCUCCCACAUGCCUUUUCGCAAACUCAAAAUGUG